CCUACGGGAGGCAGCAGUGGGGAAUUUUGGACAAUGGACGCAAGUCUGAUCCAGCCAUGCCGCGUGCGGGAAGAAGGCCUUCGGGUUGUAAACCGCUUUUGUCAGGGAAGAAACGGCUCUGGUUAAUACCUGGGGCUAAUGACGGUACCUGAAGAAUAAGCACCGGCUAACUACGUGCCAGCAGCCGCGGUAAUACGUAGGGUGCAAGCGUUAAUCGGAAUUACUGGGCGUAAAGCGUGCGCAGGCGGUUAUGCAAGACAGAUGUGAAAUCCCCGGGCUCAACCUGGGAACUGCAUUUGUGACUGCAUAGCUAGAGUACGGUAGAGGGGGAUGGAAUUCCGCGUGUAGCAGUGAAAUGCGUAGAUAUGCGGAGGAACACCGAUGGCGAAGGCAAUCCCCUGGACCUGUACUGACGCUCAUGCACGAAAGCGUGGGGAGCAAACAGGAUUAGAUACCCUGGUAGUCCACGCCCUAAACGAUGUCAACUGGUUGUUGGGAGGGUUUCUUCUCAGUAACGAAGCUAACGCGUGAAGUUGACCGCCUGGGGAGUACGGCCGCAAGGUUGAAACUCAAAUUGAAUUGACGGCUGGAGAGNGCGAGACGACGACGAGGGAGGAGG
rnacentral:rRNA from 1 species